rnacentral:lncRNA from 1 species
CUCAGACUUUCAUGGUGGCGCUCAAGGCACGCGGCGACUUAGCAGAGAAGAGGCUCCACUCGCAGAUCUGGGAGAGAAAUCUGGAGGGAAUCCACUACUCAGCGUGGUCGCUCAAUGAGAGAAAAGCUUUUCUUGGGAGGUCGGUAAACUUUGCAAGGAAAGAGUGUCAUGCAAGGUUGAUGGAGCCGUCAAUCAAAGAUGGUACCUGAAAAGACGCGAAUGGAUCUUAGCUGGCACACCUUGGUGAAGAGAUAAAAAAUAUGAGAGACAAUACUUAUCUC